GAGCUGGGCGUUGGUGCCAGUGGGGUUGUGAGGUGGGAAAGGGUUUUAGAAUGGGCAAUGGAUUGUGCAAAAAUGAAUAAAGAAAUAAAUUGGGGAAUGAGUUCUAAGGAAGACGUAAUUAAAAAUAACAGUUCUCUUUAGUUCAAGUAAAGGGUUUUAAAAUGGGGAAUGAAUUCUAAGGAAGACGUAAUUAAAAUAAAAGUUCUCUUUAGUUCAAGUGAGUUUUGCAAGGUAGUAAAGGGUUUUAAAAAUGGGGAAUGAGUUCUACAAAAAAAUGGGGAGUAGAUUAUAAGGAAGAAAUAAUUUUAAAAAAAUUCUCUUUAGUUAACGUGCUUUUGCAAGACACUAAAAAACUAAAAAAACGGGGAAUAAAUUCUAAGGAAGACAUAAUUAAAAUAAAAGUUCUCUUUAGUUCAAGUAAAGGGUUUUAGAAAAUGGGGAAUGGAUUCUGCAAAAAUAA
rnacentral:lncRNA from 1 species